AUCUGGACACACACACCCGGGAUUUAGGCCUGCCAAGCAGCCAUACUUACCAAACCAGUCCAAAAGAGAAAGAACAAGACUAGCCACGGUGUAUCGGUGCAUUUUCUAUAAAUUUGGGGUCGCCAUUCUCUUUGCCUUGUUUUCUCUGCAGAAACCUUCCAGGAAAACGGAGAGUUGAGAAAAGCAAGAGAAACAGAUGAAAUCAACCGAACCCAAACCUCUCCAAAGGCUGCUAAAGCAACUCAACUCUGUCAUGGGGAAGAUCAGCUCUCUGCAGGAUGGAUGUGAAACCCCCCGGGGGCCAAGUUCUUACUGGAGGACAGAGGAGCCGGAAGCGUCCUGUCUGUGCAGGUAGGUGCCCGCAGAGGCCGCUUCUCUCAGGGCUCAGGUUGUCGCCCUUACCAGGUACUCGGCGCCCAAGCACUGCAUGGUACCCGGCAGCUGGGAUUGGCGGCGGCGGUGGUCGCCUUGCACACGGGACAGAGGUGCGGCGACCGGGCCAAGUGGCCCAGGAGGGGCGGGCAGGGCGAGCAGGGCUCAGCGCCUCCUAGCGGUCCAGGGCGCUGGUCCCCUAGACCCGCCCUUUCCGUGGUGGCUUUAGGUUGGGAGGACCUGCUGGGAGAGGGUGGCACCUGCACAGCACCGGUUCCCAGGAAGUGCUCCUGACCACUGUGCGACGCCUGGGCCCGUUGCCAGCGCCUGGAGUUAGAAGUGAGGCCUCAGGGAUCAUUUCUGAGGGCGGGGAGCUUGCAGGGGUGUGUCACACACAGGUAAGUGGUGCUUUGUGUGUGCAGAAUCCUGCCCUGAAAGGUUCACCAGUUCUCUUCGAGGCGCAUCAAGUUGCAAUCUGUUGUCAUCCUUGAGCUAAGAUCAGGGAGACUGAGCACUGGACAGCAAUGGCGACACUCUGUCAAGUGUUUACCAUUCCAGCUGCUAUUUCUACAAGGCUGAAUCUUCUCCACCCUCUCAGGACCUUCCUGAAUGCAGGCUUCUCAGAAUGAGUAGCUGGAUUUCCAGAGGGCCCUGAAUUCAUCCCCUAGAGUCCCCCCUUCAAGUAGACAUUUGCACAACUACAGAAAGAGCACAGUUGAGUCACAGCAUCUCAAACAAAUUAGUACAAGAACGGAUGGAUGGAGAGGCUUAAAUACACACGGCAUGUAUAUUUAUAUUUACUGUGAUGAUUACCAUAGUAUCAAUGAAGCAGAACCAAAAAGCUCUGUUAGACACGGAGAAUAAAAAGAUCAGAAUGACAGCUUAUUUGGCUCCAUUUAGUAACAUUGUGGAUUAAGCCAUGGAAGAGAUGUGGCAGAAGCUGAGUAAGGAGGAACGGCAGUGUUUGCGUGACAAUCACAAAUCUUGUCACAUCUUGUCACAUCUCUUGGGCUUUGGAUAUAUGACCUGGUGAAGAAACCUCCUACUUUCAUCCACCACAUAUCUGCACCUGUCUCUUAGAUGUCUCUUACUUAAGUCCUUCAUGGUGCACACGGGUCUUCAGAAACCAUUUUCUCCUUUCAAAGUGUGAAGGCGAUUCUUUGUGUCUCCCUGAGACCUGGUCCUGAGGGGUGUUACCUGGAGAUGCUCAUUGGAGAAAAUACCACGUGGUAGAUGUGUUUCCUUGUAUAUGACACAAGUCGUAACACUGAGAAGUGCCACUGAAUGCUCUUAGUGCCCUUUCUUAUGAAAUAGUAAGGUGUCAGAGUGAGAGAAAUAAUUCCAAGGCACCUGGAAACUCCUUCCCUACGUCUUCUCCGCUGAUCAAUCCUAUCUACAGUGUCUUAAAUAGACAAACCAAAAUAAAAAUUUGAGUACAUACAGAAGGAAAACUUAAAACACCCUGAAAGAAGACUCGUGACUAAUAACUCCGUCCUUAGCUAUGAAUGCCCACUACUGGAUCCUAUUUGAAUCAAAGGCCUGGGAGCGAGGCAGAGCUGAAGCAGGGUGCUUGGAGAUUGGGAGAUGGCAUAGGACAGAGACCUGUAGGACAAAUGCCAGCCUCUUGGUGACCCCAGACUAGUACUUUCAUUGUCUAGUUGGGUAAAUGUCAUGGUUGGCAGAGCUCAUUUGUCUACUCUGAAAUGUGAGAGUAGAUUUGCUCUUCACGACUACUGAAAAAACAAGAAUGUCAUCUGCUUUUGCUUCUUGCCAAAUAUCUCAUAUACAUCCCAUUAGCAAUUAAUGUGUACACAUGCUUCUAGAAAAACAACUUGUGAUUGAUUUCCUAAAGUCUUGCUGCAUUUCACUAUGUUUCGCUGAGCCUUUCAUGGCUGUGAUAGAUACCCACACAAACAUCGACUUAGAGAAGCAAAGAUUUAUUUUGACUCGAUGUUUUGAGGCUUCACUCUGCCAUGGCUGGAGGGUUUAGGGAGCUAAAGAACUCUCUAUGAUGGCUGGAAAGCAAAGAGAAAGAACCAGGGGGCUCUCUCCUUCUUCCUGCUUGUCUCACCUGAGUCCCCUGCCUUCGGCUGGAGAAAGUCUACAUUCAAAGUGGGUGCUCCCUCGGAGUUAAUCCUUUCUGCAGGCAGAUAAACCCGGAGGAGGGCUUUCCUCCUCCCUGGCGUCCUUCCACUCACAGAUCUGUGACAGGUUAACUGUGACAGGUUACCUAGGCCUUCUUCUCUUGUCUGUUUGGAGGAGAUGUGUACAGUUGCAAAGUCAGACAAACCACUAACCCCGCUCACCACCUGGCUCUGAUUUAGAAAUUCUUACAUGGAGAUCUUCUCAGGAGAAUUUAUCUUGAAGUUUGUAAUCCAACAACUCCCCCCACCCCCACCCCCCCGUUCUUUGUGAAGUGAAGCCAAAAAGAAAACGGAGAAAGAAGGAAGCAGGGUACAUCUUGGUACACACAGAGAAAGAGUAGCUAAUUGUUGUGAAUGCGAAAAUCUAGGCUGGAGGGCUUUUCCCAGCUCUGGAAAACCUAUGAUUUUUUAAAACACAUGGCAUUUGUAUGAAAACUAAAUUGCCAAGGCAAGUGAAUUUCAACCAAAAAGGAAAAAAGUAGGAGAGAGAUGAUCAAUUAAAGAUAACACUUCUUCUUUGAAGAAAAAAAAAACUAGGAAAGAAAACAAACAAACAAACAAACAACCCGUAGGACUCUUGUAAGGUCCACAGAACAGGGGUAAACUAUGCAUACUUUCUUAUUUGAAAGAUUCUAGGUGGCUUCCUACCAUAGGGCAGCAGAGCCAUUUCUGUUGUACUCUGCUUUCUCCCCUACAGUUUAUUUCCUUAAGUUCUACAAUACUUAUUUCCCCCCUAGUCCAUAUUCAUGUUUAACACAAGCUAUAUUAUAACAUGAGUUAGAUUCCUUCAUAGGCCAGCCUUGAAAAACCCUGCUAGGGAGGGCUAAUGCAGUUACCACUUUCCAGCAGCAGAUGGCACUGUAAGCCAGUAGAUUUUUUUUCAUUGAUUCUGCUCUAGGUAUCUGCUCUUGUAUCUACAUUUUUUUGUUAUUCACCUAUCAAAUAUUAUUAUUUCAAAAAUUUUAAGGCAGAUUACAUUCCAUGUAUAUACUUCAUUGCUGUAUGCUCCACCAAAACCUAUUAAAUUGCUGUGGUUUCUCAA
rnacentral:lncRNA from 1 species